GGAUUAGUAGGUUGGUCAUACCUCUGGUAUGUACUGAUCUCACUGAUUCCUCCCUCUUGACGAACUGUAAUGUCAUUAAUUUGGUGUUUCAGGAAAUUAGGACUGUUACUUUGAAAAAUUAGAGUGUUUAAAGCAGGCUUAGGCUUGAAUACAUUAGCAUGGAAUAAUGAAAUAGGACGUUUGAUCCUAUUUUGUUGGUUUCUAGGAUUGACGUAAUGAUUA
rnacentral:rRNA from 1 species